rnacentral:rRNA from 1 species
UGUAAGCCAGGUCGGUUUCUAUCUUUAUUAAAUUAAAAUAUUUUAGUACGAAAGGACCAAAUAUUUAAUAUAGUUAUAUUUUAAUUUUUGAAUAUUAAU